rnacentral:misc_RNA from 1 species
AGAAAACCCAAAUUCAUCUCAUGCUUCUCAAUGGACAAAGCUCAUCGUUUUUCAGUUUUUUUAUUUGCUUUUCUUGUUUGCUUUCUCUUUGCUUUCAACUGCUGCUGUUGUUUUCACUGUAGCAUCAAUUUACACUACAAAGCCUGUGUCUUUUUCAUCUACCUUAGCUGCAAUUCCCAGUGUUUUCAAGAGGCUUUUUAUCACCUUCAUAUGGGUUUCUCUUUCUAUGUUGGCUUAUAAUACUGUUUUCUUGAUUUUUCUUGUGCUUCUCAUUGUAGCAGCAGAUACCCAGAAUGUGGUUUUGUUCCUUUUCUCCUUUUUGGUUGUCUUUAUACUCUUUCUUGUAGUUCAUGUUUACUUCAGCGCAUUGUGGCAUUUGGCCAGUGUGGUGUCUGUUCUUGAGCCUAUUUAUGGUAUAGGAGCUAUGAAGAAGAGCUAUCAGUUGUUGAAAGGGAAGACAGGAAUGGCAUUUUUCUUUGUUUUUGGAUAUUUGUCUAUUUGUGGGGUAAUUAAUGGGUUUUUUGGGUCUGUUGUGGUUCAUGGAGGUGAUAAUUAUGGUGUGAUUUCAAGGAUUUUGAUUGGUGGGUUCUUGGUUGGAGUAUUGGUGAUUGUGAAUCUUGUGGGGCUUUUGAUGCAAAGUGUGUUUUACUAUGUUUGCAAGAGCUACCAUCAUCAAGAGAUAGAUAAGACUGCUCUCUACGAUCAUCUUGGUGGAUACCUUGGGGAAUAUGUGCCUCUGAAAAGCAGCGUGCAGAUGGAGAACUUAGAAGGCGGUCCCUUGACGCCAUGAUGGUGAGAAAGGCUGAAUCCUUGUGAUUUUAUUCGAAUUUGUUGCAUGAUAUAUUGACGAGGAAUCGUAAAGACAUUAACUUUGGAGUAGGUUGUUGUGUUUGGGCACUUGAAUUUGUUUGUAUACAUAAUAAAUAACUUUGUUUUUUGUGCUUUCUUGUUAAAUUUCAUUAAUAUGCACCAUUAGU